ACUAAUCUAUGUUUCUGUUGUUUUAAAAAUGUAUGUGUAUAUAUUAUGACCCUAUGACUCAUCAUUUGGCCUUUGGCAAAUAAUUUUUUUGUUAACUAUAUAUUAGUUUAUUAUUUAUGCUUCGAGCUAUAAAAACAUACUGAAUAAAGGUGCUCGUAAAAUAAUAAGAAACAUGUCAACACCUUCUUAUUCUGUGUCAAAUAUCGACGGUCAUGCCGUUGGCAACGAUGAUCUAAUGGCCUGACGACAAACAGUCGAAGAGCCUUGACCUUUUCCCAAUAUUCAUCAACGAUCAUUCUAUAAAAAUCAUCGUUAUUGAAGAUCAAAGCAGUGGAAUAAUUUUCAACUUUUUUUGUCUUCGUAUUUAGUUGGAAGAUGGUAUAUAAACACGUUUGGAGCUACUUGAAAAAUGGAUUGUGUGUACCUGAAAUAGUAUAUUUUAAGCUGAUGGGUUUAUUUUUUUCCUAUCAGCUGUAGUAUAUCCUAGAUUUUUGAGCAAAAUAUCCAUAUUUCGGAAGAAGCGAAAAAUCAUAUGACAGGAGCUACUUGAUAUUGAUUAAAUCAAGGUCCAAAUUGUUAUUAAACAACUACAAGUUCUCAAAACCACAGAUGUUUGACUAAUUGAUUCAUUUGUAGAACUUAAAAAUGCUGAAGUGAUAUAUAUAUAUCUAUUCCGUCAAAUUAGACAUACCUUUACAAAAAUGAGUAUAUUAAAAAAACCAUAGCAUAUUUUGUAUUUCUGACUUUAGAUUUGAAGUUUACAUAAAAUUUAGGAUUAGAAAACAUGUAUUACUUCUAAGAAUUCGAAGUUUGAUAUUUUCCGGAUUUUGGCAGUAAAACUGGAGUCGAAUCUCAAACCUUUGGUUCGAUUAUUAAGCAAAUUUUAAAUUUUGUUUCACUCAUAAAUCACGUAUUUUUUUUUAUAUAACUUGUUGACUAGUGUUAUUCAUUAUUUUAAAAUAGUUGAGGGUAGCAAAAAGUAAUUAAAUUAUUUAAAAAAUUGGAAUAGCAUUUUUGGUUUUUCAAAUCCAAAAAAUUAUUACAAACUCAUUGCAUUAGAAUCUUUCUUUUAUUACCUGCACACGGGGUUUUUUAAGUAAAAAAUAUGUUCGAAAGAUAUCUCCAUGAAAUAUGUUAGUAUUAAUUAAAUUUACAGAAUUUUAGGGUUCCACUUGUUAAAAAAAUGUAUUCCUGAUUCCAUAUUCUUAGGAAUUAAAUGCAUUUUUUUUUUCUUUUUUCAGUUAAAUAAAUUUUUUCACCCUAUAUCAUUAAAGACUCAAUUUUAGAAGGAUUUUGUUAGUGUCAAAAUGUAUUUAUCUCUUUCAGAUUAUAUUAUCUAAUUGGUUAAGAAAUGCAAUUAUAUGUUUGUCAGGUGAUCCUAAUUUUUUAAUUGAUUUGAGUCCGUUAGUGUGCUUUGUAUAUACUACAAACAAAUAAAUCAUCUUUAUCACACUGACGAAAGACAUAAAUUUAAUAUAUAAAACUGAGUCCGUGUUGUACAGGGUUUACUGUUAUUAAGUAAUAUUGAUUAGUAAUACUCGUACCAACAGUGUUAUUAUUUUUUUUGCCUUAUAUACAAUUGUUUCUCAGCAAAAGUCACAAACCUAUUCAUUACAUUAUUCAAUUGAUACUAAUACAAUAAGGAGGGGAAGGCGUGCUAAGGUAAAUAUGUGGAAUGUGCAAACUUUUUAGCUCAAAGGCUGCAUUCAAAAUUAGAUUAUGUUUGAGGUGUAUUAUAUUUAAAUAAAAUACUAUUAGACAAAAAAAUUAUUUUAAGUAUUAAUUUAGGCAAAA
rnacentral:lncRNA from 1 species